GUUCGCGAUCGAAGCUUGUGGUGGUGUCUUCGUCGAUUCCAAUUUCCAAUAUAUCUUUUAAAUUUACGUUAAAUAUUUCAAUCGUUCCAUAAAUUUUGCUAGUGUUCUUCCCUUGAUGCAUUUGUGGUUGCAUCUUGCAUUAAACUCUAAAAGUAACGUGAUAUAUUUCUACGAUUCUACGAGAUAUCAAUGCUUGUCAAAUCGCGGUCGAAGUCUAGUCAACGAUCAAGUAAAAACGAACAUUUCGCGAAAAAAUUUUAUGGUAACGAAUAUAUUAAAAAUAUUUUUCUAUUUAUACCAAUUAUCGAUAAUUUCGAGGACAAAAGUACGUUGCAUUUAUACGUAAUUUGGGUGUAACACAAGUUUAUGACGUCAAGUACAGACUUCAAAUUAUUUACGAUCAAGGUUAUUCAUCAAAUGCUACUCGUGAUGGUAUACCAACUGUCGUCCAUUCGCAAUGUGUCCAAGUUUCCACCUCAAAAAGAGCGCAUAAUCGAUGAGAAAUAGGGAAAAUGACAGUGGACAAUGAUGAUACCUAACACGAGCAACACUUGUAACAAAAGUAUCAGCUGCGGUUACGGAUCGUAGACUGGUUAAAUAUUCAUCAAUAGCGUGUCUGCGGAUCGUCUGUAAGUAGUCAACUAGAAAUAAGUUUAAAGCUGCUCAAGUAUUAUGCACCCAAAGCAAAAAGAAAAAA